AGUGGCGCAGCUAACGCACUAAGUAGACCGCCUGGGGAGUACGGCCGCAAGGUUAAAACUCAAAUGAAUUGACGGGGGCCCGCACAAGCGGUGGAGCAUGUGGUUUAAUUCGACGCAACGCGAAGAACCUUACCUGGCCUUGACAUGCAGAGAACUUUCCAGAGAUGGAUUGGUGCCUUCGGGAACUCUGACACAGGUGCUGCAUGACCGUCGUCAGCUCGUGUCGUGAGAUGUUGGGUUAAGUCCCGUAACGAGCGCAACCCCUAUCCCUAGUUGCUAGCAGUUCGGCUGAGAACUCUAGGGAGACUGCCGGUGACAAACCGGAGGAAGGUGGGGAUGACGUCAGGUCAUCAUGGCCCUUACGGCCAGGGCUACACACGUGCUACAAUGGUGCGUACAGAGGGCUGCAAACCCGCGAGGGGGAGCUAAUCUCACAAAACGCAUCGUAGUCCGGAUCGGAGUCUGCAACUCGACUCCGUGAAGUCGGAAUCGCUAGUAAUCGCGAAUCAGAAUGUCGCGGUGAAUACGUUCCCGGGCCUUGUACACACCGCCCGUCACACCAUGGGAGUGGAUUGCACCAGAAGUGGUUAGUCUAACCUUCGGGAGGA
rnacentral:rRNA from 1 species